CAGCAGCCGCGGUAAUACAGAGGGUGCAAGCGUUAAUCGGAAUUACUGGGCGUAAAGCGCACGCAGGCGGUCUGUCAAGUCAGAUGUGAAAUCCCCGGGCUUAACCUGGGAACUGCAUUUGAAACUGGCAGGCUAGAGUCUUGUAGAGGGGGGUAGAAUUCCAGGUGUAGCGGUGAAAUGCGUAGAGAUCUGGAGGAAUACCGGUGGCGAAGGCGGCCCCCUGGACAAAGACUGACGCUCAGGUGCGAAAGCGUGGGGAGCAAACAGGAUUAGAGACCCCGGUAGUCCCUGUCUCUUAUAC
rnacentral:rRNA from 1 species